rfam:Homo sapiens chromosome 17, GRCh38 reference primary assembly.
CUCCAGGGCAACCGUGGCUUUCGAUUGUUACUGUGGGAACUGGAGGUAACAGUCUACAGCCAUGGUCGCCCCGCAGCA